CCUACGGGGCGCUGCAGUGAGGAAUAUUGGUCAAUGGGCUUACGCCUGAACCAGCCAAGUCGCGUGAGGGAAGACUGCCCUAUGGGUUGUAAACCUCUUUUGUCAGGGAGCAACGCCGGCUUCGUGUAGCCGGACUGAGAGUACCUGAAGAAAAAGCAUCGGCUAACUCCGUGACAGCAGCCGCGGUAAUACGGAGGAUGCGAGCGUUAUCCGGAUUUAUUGGGUUUAAAGGGUGCGUAGGCGGAAUGCCAAGUCAGCGGUAAAAUCGCGGGGCUCAACCUCGCUCCGCCGUUGAACCUGGCGUUCUUGAGUGGGCGAGAAGUAUGCGGAAUGCGUGGUGUAGCGGUGAAAUGCAUAGAUAUCACGCAGAACUCCGAUUGCGAAGGCAGCAUACCGGCGCCCAACUGACGCUGAAGCACGAAAGCGUGGGUAUCGAACAGGAUUAGAUACCCUGGUAGUC
rnacentral:rRNA from 1 species